AGCUCCAAUAGCGUAUAUUAAAGUUGUUGCAGUUAAAAAGCUCGUAGUUGAAUUUCUGGCUGGAGCUGCACUGGCUUAGGUCGGUGUAGUUCUCAGUCAUCCGUAUGAGAAACCUUCUCGCUCUUCAUCGGGCGGCUGGUGUAUCAUACAAUUUACUUUGAAAAAAUUAGAGUGUUUCAGGCAGGCAAUUGCUGGGAUACACAAGCAUGGAAUAAUGGAAUAGGACUUUAAUCUAUUUUAUUGGUAUAUUAGAUUGAAGUAAUGAUUAAUAGGGACAGUUGGGGGCAUUAGUAUUUAAUUGUCAGAGGUGAAAUUCUUGGAUUUAUUAAAGACUAACUUAUGCGAAAGCAUUUGCCAAGGAUGUUUUCA
rnacentral:rRNA from 1 species